CUCCCCACUCACACUUUCCACUCUCCCCACUCACACUUCACACCAUACUUUGCCCCCCACCAAAAUAAACUUUAGCCAUAAUACUCAUUCCCUUCCACCCACCAUUUCAGACUUGUCUGCAAAGCCAUUUCCUCUUGGCAAUUCCCACCAUUUCAGACUCUCUCUUUGGCGUACAGAAUCCAGCACACAACAAACAAACAGGAUCAACACUCACUGAAAUUUCUUACAAGGCUUUGAGCAUCAGGAGGAUUAGCACUGCUAUUCCGAUUCAGAAAUAAAGUUAAACGACAGGCUUUGCCUAGACAGGUUAAUGGCUGGUGAUGACGGGGCAGAGCUGAGGCUAGGGUUCAACUCCGUAUUUUGUCUUCCGCUAUUGCACUAGCUUUUAUUUGUCUUUUGUUUCUCCAACUUAAGACUUUUAUGUUAAAUUCUGAAUUAUGUUUUUAUCGAGCUUAAACUCUCAACUUCUAGCUCUAUGUUAUUUAACGUUGGUUAUCGGAAGCAUGAAACCGAACUUGUGAUCCUAA